rnacentral:rRNA from 1 species
CGAACGCCGUUGAGCCCGCGGGCGGGUCCGCGCUUCCCUCCCGGGACGCGGUCCGUCCGUGUGCUGGCUCCGGUUUGCGGCGCAUUUCCUCCCGUCCUCCGACGCCGCGACCGGUCGGGCGCGCCACGAGCAGUCGGCCUUACUCGCGGGAAACGGAAGGUAGCCGGGUCGGCGCGCACGCGCCGCUCCCCGGUGUUCUAGCCGUCCCGCAAUCGAGUCAGCCGUUCGCCCGACCGCAGGACCCAAGGCCCUCAGGGGCCCCGCCGUGCCCUCCCCGUCUCAGGGGAUCGCAGCCCGCCUCGGAAGGGAUGCCGCUCUGUCCCCGCGCCGCACCUCCGGUGCGCGCGGGGCGGCGGCGCCCGCUGGCCGGGGCGGUUACGAUUCGGGCGCCGGCGGUCCGCGGCGAGUAGGUCGGUCACCCACUCGACCCGUCUUGAAACACGGACCAAGGAGUUUAACAUGCACGCGAGUCACUGGGUCGUGAGCAGGCCCAAGGGCGCAAUGAAAGUGAAGGGCGGCCCAWGCCGUCCGCGUUGGGAUCCUCCGGCCUCCGYGCCGGGGGCGCACCAACGGCUCGUCCGGGCCGCCACGUCGGCCGGGCGAAGCUAGAGCGUGCACGUUGAGACCCGAAAGAUGGUGAACUAUGGCUGGGCAGGA